UACGAAGGGUGCAAGCGUUAAUCGGAAUUACUGGGCGUAAAGCGUGCGUAGGUGGUCUUUUAAGUCCGUUGUGAAAUCCCCAGGCUUAACCUGGGAACUGCAUUCGAGACUGCAUUGCUAGAGUAUGGGAGAGGGAAGUGGAAUUUCCGGUGUAGCGGUGAAAUGCGUAGAUAUCGGAAGGAACAUCAGUGGCGAAAGCGACUUCCUGGACCAAUACUGACGCUCAUGUGCGAAAGCGUGGGGAGCAAACAGG
rnacentral:rRNA from 1 species